rnacentral:tRNA from 1 species
GGAAGGGUGGCAGAGUGGUCGAUUGCACCGGUCUUGAAAACCGGCGACGUCGCAAGACGUCCGAGGGUUCGAAUCCCUCCCCUUCCG